GCCGCCAGAGUCAGCUGGAGACGACGCUGGAGUCUCAUUCCAGAGGGCCGGGUUCGACUCCCGGUGGCGGUACCG
rnacentral:tRNA from 1 species